rnacentral:rRNA from 1 species
CCCUUAGAUGUUCUGGGCUGCACGCGCGCUACACUGAUUCAUGCAACAAGUUUUGUCCUUGGCUGAUAGGCCUGGGUAAUCUUUGAACGUGAAUCGUGAUGGGGAUAGAUGAUUGCAAUUAUUCAUCUUCAACGAGGAAUUCCUAGUAAACGCAAGUCAUCAGCUUGCAUUGAUUACGUCCCUGCCCUUUGUACACACCGCCCGUCGCACCUACCGAUUGAAUGGUCCGGUGAAAUCUUCGGAUCUGAGAGAUGUCUGAUUAAUUUCGGACGCCUUUUGGAAAAGUUGCUUAAACCUUACCAUUUAGAGGAAGGUGAAGUCGUAACA